UUGGACCUGAUAUCAGGCAAGAUUACCCGCUGAACUUAAGCAUAUCAAUAAGCGGAGGAAAAGAAACUAACAAGGAUUCCCCUAGUAACGGCGAGUGAAGCGGGAAGAGCUCAAGCUUAAAAUCUCCGUGCAAGUUUUGCGCGGCGAAUUGUAGUCUAUAGAGGCGUGGUCAGCGUGGGCGC
rnacentral:rRNA from 1 species